rnacentral:pre_miRNA from 1 species
UUUACUCAAAUUUGUAUUGAAUUGGAAUGUUUGCCUAUGUUUGCCCCUAGGGGCGUUGUUUCAACUACGAACAAAUUUGAAUUC